GAAAUAUGAGGAGUUAUCAUGGCCUUCGGAGUGGUGUUGUGGUGAUGCAGGAAGGAGGAUAGGAGGUCACAUUGACGUAGCUGUCACUGAUCCGAACCCUGCUGAGCUUUUGCUGAGUAAUACUUUCACUGAAGCCAUUCCAGGAGCAAAUGCAAAUGAGUGGCGCAGAGUGAUGGUCGAGGAGAUUGCUGCAUUAGCAGCUAACGGCACUUGUGAGCCACGUGCACAGUUUCAUGAUGUGCAUGUGCUACUGUCCCGGUGGGUGCACAAAUUGGAAACACUGGAAAAUGACAGUGUCAAG
rnacentral:lncRNA from 1 species